AACGAUGAUAACUCGCUGUNGGCGAUACACAGUCAGCGGCUUAGNGAAAGCGUUAAGUUAUCCACCUGGGGAGUACGCUCGCAAGAGUGAAACUCNAAAGGAAUUGACGGGGGCCCGCACAAGCGGAGGAACAUGUGGUUUAAUUUCGAUGAUACGCGAGGAACCUUACCUGGGCUUAAAUGUGCUAUGACCGCUGGAGAAAUUCGGCUUUUCGCAAGAACAGGGUACAAGGUGCUGCAUGGUUGUCGUCAGCUCGUGCCGUGAGGUGUCGGGUUAAGUCCCAUAACGAGCGCAACCCUUAUUGUCAGUUGCUAACAGGUCAUGCUGAGGACUCUGGCGAGACUGCCACCGUAAGGUGUGAGGAAGGUGGGGAUGACGUCAAAUCAGCACGGCCCUUAUGUCCAGGGCUACACACGUGUUACAAUGGCCAGUACAAAGGGCAGCUGCCGGGCGACCGGAUGCUAAUCUCUAAAGCUGGUCUCAGUUCGGAUCGAAGUCUGCAACCCGACUUCGUGAAGCUGGAUUCGCUAGUAAUCGCGCAUCAGCCAUGGCGCGGUGAAUACGUUCCCGGGCCUUGUACACACCGCCCGUCAAACCAUGGGAGUUGGGGGUACCUGAAGUAUGUGACCGCGAGGAGCGUCCUAGGGUAAAACCAAUGACUGGGGUUAAGUCGUAACAAGGUAACC
rnacentral:rRNA from 1 species